AUGCCAGUCACCAAAAAUAAUUUAAAAGAUGAUUUAUUGGCGACCGGGAAACCAAAAUCAUCGACAAUAUAUGUUAACCGAUGUCGCAGUUCGAUGAUUUAUGGUGAAGGCGACCCCGUAGCUGCAGAUGUAGAAAUGAGUGAAUGUAGUCCAUCGGAUGUUCCUCUGCAAAUAGAAGAAAAUGUUUUAUUGAGAAACGUGACGGCUAAUCGAGGAAUGAUAUACCAAUUUAGCCUGUGGUAUAGCAAACAAUUCACAAUGCCUUUGUCGUAUUUAAUUGGAAUACCUCUUGGUUGGCUGUUACUUGGCACAUUUCAAUAUUUUGUGUGUAUCGUCAUUUUGGGUGACAGUUUCUUAGACCCAUGGUAUUUCACGUGUGCUUGGAUAGUGGAAGUAAUUUCUACGCUCCCAGUUAUUAUGAUUAUAACAAUCAUUAAGUGUCUGUACGUGCAAGUGGAAAUAUUGGAACAGUGUGAAAAAGUUACAUGGAUUGGUUUUACAUUUUUACUUUUUCAAGGGUUGGCCAUUAUAAUACUUUUGCUUCCAGUUAGCAAUUUAUUUAAGUACAUAUUUGGCGAUUUUUCACGACCGAUAAAUUUUUUUAUUUAUUGGAUGAUGUUAGCUUUUCCACACAUCAUGCUAUUAUGCUUUGCAACAUUUGGUUGUUGUUCAAAGAUGUUUAGAUCGUUUUCACAAUAUUUCCGUCAUGCUAAUAAUUGGAAAAAGCAUAGAACUAUACAAGUGCAUUUCGAAACAACUAAUCAGAGGCAAACGAUACAUAAUGAUAAAAAUAAUAUUGAACUACAAGAACUCAAUUACCAUCCAAUAAUUCGAAAUAAAUCAUAAUUAUCUAUAAUUUAAAACGUUAGUUAUGUUUUUUAUUAUUACAGCAAACAUAUAGCAGUGGUUUUACGCAGUGCGCAUUAUCUCACUAUAGAUAUACCUACCCGUCAUGGCCGUCAAGUUUAGAAAUCUACGAGUAAAAAAUAUUUCGUGCGCAGUCGCUGAAACACAUUAAUAUUGAAAUAGGCGAAUGUCGUGAACCGUCGAAAUGGAAACGCAGCUGUAACAGCGGUUUUUUGUAUUGACGUCAUUGUUCUACGUUCUUCUAGAACAUUCUAUAACACGGCGGCGGCGGCGCCCUCUCCACUUUGCGCAGACUCAUAAAUGCUGCCGCCCCACCGAUGGCCGUUCGCAGCCGACGCUCAUUGUUCAUACUCGUCCCACAA